rnacentral:rRNA from 1 species
GUGUACUGGAUAGUACGAACUGGUUAUUCAAUGUAUUAGGUUUAUCCAACUCGUUGAAAGACUGGGGCAGUAAAUUUCUAGUAAUUUGGCUCGGCCUUAUAACAACAAACUAAGUUUGACCUCAAAUCAGGUAGGAUUACCCGCUGAACUUAAGCAUAUCAAUAAGCGGAGGAAAAGAAACCAACAGGGAUUGCCUUAGUAGCGGCGAGUGAAGCGGCAAUAGCUCAAAUUUGAAAUCUGGCGCCUUCGGUGUCCGAGUUGUAAUUUGAAGAAGGUAUCUUUGGUUUUGGCUCUUGUCUAUGUUCCUUGGAACAGGACGUCACAGAGGGUGAGAAUCCCGUGCGAUGAGAUGCCCAAUUCCAUGUAAAGUUCCUUCGACGAGUCGAGUUGUUUGGGAAUGCAGCUCUAAGUGGGUGGUAAAUUCCAUCUAAAGCUAAAUAUUGGCGAGAGACCGAUAGCGAACAAGUACUGUGAAGGAAAGAUGAAAAGAACUUUGAAAAGAGAGUGAAAAAGUACGUGAAAUUGUUGAAAGGGAAGGGCUUGAGAUCAGACUUGAUAUUUUCCCGUCUCGGGAGCUUAUCGGGCCAGCAUCAGUUUGGAUAGCAGGAUAAUUGCGUAGGAAAGUAGCUCUGCUUCGGUAGUGUGUUAUAGCCUGCGUCGAUACUGCUUGUCUAGACUGAGGACUGCGUCUUUGACUAGGAUGCUGGCAUAAUGAUCUUAAGCCGCCCGUCUUGAAACACGGACCAAGGAGUCUAACGUCUAUGCGAGUGUUUGGGUGUAAAACCCGUACGCGUAAUGA